AGCGAACGCUGGCGGCAGGCCUAACACAUGCAAGUCGAACGAACCCUUCGGGGUUAGUGGCGGACGGGUGAGUAACACGUGGGAACGUGCCUUUAGGUUCGGAAUAACUCAGGGAAACUGGUGCUAAUACCGAAUGUGCCCUUCGGGGGAAAGAUUUAUCGCCUUUAGAGCGGCCCGCGUCUGAUUAGCUAGUUGGUGAGGUAAUGGCUAACCAAGGCUACGAUCAGUAGCUGGUCUGAGAGGAUGACCAACCACAUUGGGACUGAAACACGGCCCAAACUCCUACGUGGGGCAGCAGUGUGGAAUCUUGCGCAAUGGGCGAAAGCCGAACGCAGCCAUGCCGCGUGGAUGAUGAAGGUCUUAGGAUUGUAAAAUCCUUUCACCGGUGAAGAUAAUGACUGUAGCCGGAGAAGAAGCCCCGGCUAACUUCGUGCCAGCCGCCGCAGUAAAAC
rnacentral:rRNA from 1 species